GAUGAGCGCUAGCGGCAGGCCUAACACAUGCAAGUCGAGGGAGAAGCCCUUCGGGGCAGAAACCGGCGCACGGGUGCGUAACGCGUAUGCAACCUACCUUUCACAGGGGGAUAGCCCGAAGAAAUUUGGAUUAAUACCCCAUAAUAUUAUUGGAUGGCAUCAUUUGAUAAUUAAAAUUACGAUGGUGAAAGAUGGGCAUGCGUCCUAUUAGCUAGUUGGAGUGGUAACGGCACCCCAAGGCUACGAUAGGUAGGGGUCCUGAGAGGGAGAUCCCCCACACUGGUACUGAGACAGGGACCAGACUCCUACGGGAGGCAGCAGUGAGGAAUAUUGGUCAAUGGUCGGAAGACUGAACCAGCCAUGCCGCGUGCAGGAAGAAUGCCUUAUGGGUUGUAAACUGCUUUUAUAUGGAAGAAUAAGGAGUACGU
rnacentral:rRNA from 1 species